CCUGUGAGCACUGGACCAAUUCCUUUGCCCAUUCAGAAGACCAAAUUUGGCCUUCUCUAGUGUUCCUGCAGACAAGAAGGAUGUGUCAAAAAGGUUGCAGGCUGUGCCGUCUUGUUCUGCUGCUCUGUUUCUGGUUCAUUUGGAGGGUGGACUGUGCAGCUGCGGUCUGUCACACCUGGUGUGCAAUCAGGCGCAUCUGGAAACUUAAAAGGAGGAGGCUGCAGAUCUGUCGACGGCUGAGUGUCAAACUUAGUGGUGCCUCGGUUACCUGAAUGCUGUUCCUGGACUGUCUUCUUUCAUGGUCAAGCUCAGGUUAAAACUUCCCUGGAUUCCAUGUGUCCGGAUCUGUGUAAAACUCCCAGCUUCCGAGCUUCCGAACCCAAGCUGAAAACCCUGUCCGCCCUCCAAUGAACCAAACCUCCACCGACAAGCAAAACAAGCCGCCUCCUCGACUUGACACCCUCCCGGACCAAAAACUCCAUUCUCACCAUAAGCAGCUAUUCACUCUCACAAUUCCUCUCUGCUUCUGGUCAACUACGUCACCGCUACUUCUCUCCCUAGAAGUCGGGGCUGAACCGGUCCCUGAGAGUUCCUGCCAUACCGAAUAACA